UGGGGAAUAUUGCACAAUGUAGGGAACUCUGAUGCAGCGACGCCGCGUGAACGAAGAAGGCUUUCGAGUCGUAAAGUUCUUUUAUAUGGGAAGAUAAUGACGGUACCAUAAGAAAAAGCCCCGGCUAACUACGUGCCAGCAGCCGCGGUAAUACGUAGGGGGCUAGCGUUGUCCGGAAUCACUGGGCGUAAAGGGUUCGCAGGCGGAAAUGCAAGUCAGGUGUAAAAGGCAGUAGCUUAACUACUGUAAGCAUUUGAAACUGCAUAUCUUGAGAAGAGUAGAGGUAAGUGGAAUUUUUAGUGUAGCGGUGAAAUGCGUAGAUAUUAAAAAGAAUACCGGUGGCGAAGGCGACUUACUGGGCUCAUUCUGACGCUGAGGAACGAAAGCGUGGGUAGCAAACAGG
rnacentral:rRNA from 1 species